UGCAUCGUGUGUUUGGGUUUCUUCUCCCCAGUCCCUGGCUAUCUGUGUUCUUCCCGAAACAUCAGCAAGGUGACAUCUGGCAGACCUCCAUCCAGAAGAAACACUGAGUUGAACAUUCCGGAAGGCAUUGAGAAAUCCUGGUCCCAGCAGGAAGAUAAACCGAAUAUCGGAGGCAGCAAAAAUAGACUUCUUAUGAGUCAGGUCGACUACUCCUUGAACUGUCGGCCGAAGACAUGCAAAGGACAAGAUCGUGAAAUAGAGAAAUACAGAGAAAGCAAAAAUAAAGUUCUUAUGAGGCAAGCGGCCUACUAUAUACGCUGCCGGCUGAAGAUUGAAGAAGAUCGGAGAUGUCACGAGGAGGAACGGAAAUACAGAGACAGCAAAAAUAAACUUAUGAGUCUAGACUACCCGGGCUGCAGGCUGAAGACGGAAAGUAAGUUUCAUAGGUUAGCCGUCACCAAAGUGCUGAACAAUGUUCUGUGUUUCCUGUGAGAAACUAAAGGCUCUGUUCAUCAGAAUUAAUUUCAUUUUUACCAUACAUCUAGGAAAAUAUAAAUGGGUAUUUUAACAUUUUGUUAAAGGUGGACGAGAGAGGCCAAAGUUAUGUAGCAACUUUUCCACAUCUGCAGUAAGGUGGGCGUGGGACUGAGGGUAAAGUCUCAGCUGUUGAUUUCUGACACAGGCACAGAACCACCUGUUUUUCUCAGGAAGAGGCUAAAUCAUGUUCGCAGGAAUCCUCUCUGUACCACCUAAGAUCCCGCAGACAAGUAGCAUCUAGCCUGUUGUUCUAAAUGUCUGAGGCUGCUGAACUUCAUUCGGUUCCGGUUUCUGCUGAGGCUCAGUAGGGAAAGCUCUGUUCUGGGGGACAUGCGAUGGUAGCACACUAUACCUGCUACAGGGAGCUUAAAGAGGACUCUGCUCCUUACAUACCCUGUGGUAUCUGUAAGUGGCAUCAUCAAGAGCAGAGAUUACUCUGGUCAGAGGGACGUCCUGCUGUCUUUGCAGAGGCUCUCAUUGGUAAAGAGGAAGAAUGAUGGCACCCAUGACUUUGUGAAGGCAGCAGUGCAUAGAGGAGGGACCCUGGGCCAGUCUCCUGAGCUCCCUCCAAGUUGCUUCUUUUGUUU
rnacentral:lncRNA from 13 species